rnacentral:rRNA from 1 species
GCAUCACCUUUCGAGUGGGGUUUUGGAGUUUUAGAAGUGUGUCAAAACCUUUGAGAUUUCAAAAUGCUCGCUCCUUUGGUGUACUUUCUCGUAGGUAGGUUAACAUCGAUUUCGAUUCAUCAUAAAAGGAUUGGAGGAAUGUAGCUUCGAUCUUGUAUUGAAGUGUUAUAGCCUUUGGUAAAUGUGAUGAUUGGGAUCGAGGAUUGCAACGAAUACCCUUCUGGGCUAUCCGCCUGAUCUCUGAUACGUGGCCUUGGUAUCGAAAGCGUGCUUAUGGUAUUAAGGUAUUACGGUCAAAAGGUUAGAACGGAUUACAUUCGUUAAGGAUGUUGACGUA